rnacentral:rRNA from 1 species
AUUGAACGCUGGCGGCGUGCCUAAUACAUGCAAGUCGAACGCAUUGAGAGAAGUGCUUGCACUUUUCAAUUUGAGUGGCGAACGGGUGAGUAACACGUGGGCAACCUACCUGAUAGCGGGGGAUAACGAGUGGAAACAUUCGCUAAUACCGCAUAACAAUAGAGAAGGCAUCUUCUUUAUUUAAAAGGCGCUUUAAAGCGUCACUAUCAGAUGGCCCCGCGGUGCAUUGGUUAGUUGGGGGGGUGAAGGCCUACCAAGACGAUGAUGCAUAGCCGAGUUGAGAGACUGAUCGGCCACAUUGGGACUGAGACACGGCCCAAACUCCUACGGGAGGCUGCAGUAGGGAAUCUUCCACAAUGGACGAAAGUCUGAUGGAGCAACGCCGCGUGUGUGAUGAAGGCUUUCGGGUCGUAAAGCACUGUUGUAUGGGAAGAAAUGCUAGGCUAGGAAAUGAGCUUAGUUUGACGGUACCAUGCCAGAAAGGGACGGCUAAAUACGUGCCAGCAGCCGCAGUAA